AUGACUUCAGCAUUGAGCAAUAGCAACGACAAUCUCUCAUCACGAACAACAAACCCAAACCCGUACCUAAUCAUAACACCAAUAUCAAAACUUCAACCCAAAUUAAAUCUCAACGACCCAAAUUAAAUCAACCGCGAAAUCCAAAUCCAAAAACCUUUUCAAAUUUGAAAUGUUUGCACGAUUCUCGUACAAAAUUUAGCUGUCAAACCGCGUCACCAAAAAGGAAUUCCCGAAAAACUCAAAAUUACCCCCGUUGGCCUCUUUUCCCACAUCGAUUGAACACUAAAUGGGGAGCCUAGAUUUUCCUAUAAAAGGGACACGACAGAGAAGAAGGAGACUAACUCUAAAAAGAGGGAAAAACUAUUUUUGAGCAAAAUCAGUAAAAAUUUUCAUUUUUAGUAAAAAUUUUAGUGGUCGAUUUGUCAGAAUUCUCGAAGGAUCGACUUUCGGUGGUGGUGGAGUCCGACGUUAGCUCAAGGUUCUAUUUUGCUACUCCGAAAGAGGUAAACACCUCUUUCUAUUUUGAUUUCUAUUAUCAUUUUUUUCCUUCUUUAUAAAUCCAUAGUCGUAAAUGUUGUUUGCUGGGAAUAAGCUGUUGUAGACGGCCUUGAAGUCCAUAGUCUUAUUUGAUAAAGAUUGUGGCUUUCAACGUAUUGAUGUGUUAGCAUAUUUAGGUUUCUGGUUUUUAUUUAUUUAUAUAAAAGUUUGCUAUUUUUGAUUUUCCAUGGUUGAUCUUAGCUUUUUAGUUCAUUAAAGCUUGAAUGUUGCUCCAAGUAAAUGUCUUGCUUGUUAAUCCUCGAUUCAUGUUAUUGGUGUUUCCACGCGCUUGGUUUCUGAUUGAUUAAACAUUGUUUAAUGUGGGAUUAGAUUAGUAGUCUUAUCAUGGUUGUUAGCCUACAUGUUUCGAGUUUCUUUAGCCUUUAAUGCUAAUGUUAGAAACUAAAACAUGACAAGGUCUCCAAUCCAAUGACUCCUUAAAAUUAUUUUGACUCUUGUAGAUAUGUUCUAAGAAUGUCAAAAGAGGAUAUGGAUUAGAAUGGUAUGAUCUCGCAUUUCUUCUCCGAUAGAUUGUAUGAUUUCUCUUAAAAAAAUAUUUGUUGCAGUGUAGUAUUUCAUCUAAAUCAAAGUUUCUUUUUGGGAAAUAAAAAAUAGUGUUUGUACACGUGCUUAGUAUUCAUAUUGUUGAGUAUAAUUUACCGUGUCAAAAUAGUGUGGUUGGCAUUUGGAGUUAAACACUUUCGAGUACCUUAGCUCUCUUUAAAACAAUCUGACUAGAACUUUACUCUUCCCUCUUCCGAAACCUUGCAGUAACUCUAAAGCAAAUAUAAUACUCAUUUUAUCUAGUGCAGAUAUGAUUUUUACCUUUGUUAAAUUAUAAACAUUUUGUCUCCUGAAGAUGGGAUCUUCCUAAAUUUAUGUCAAUUGUCAAUUCUUGUGUUUUUAGGAGUUAAAUUGGGUUUGUUGUCAGGUCCCUUUCUUCAUUUAUUCCUAACCUUCAAGGUUCUCUUGAACUAAAUCAGUGUUAGUUUGAUAGAUGGAAUAUAUUAUCAGAUAAAAGUUUAUUGCAAAGUUAUGCUAGAAAAGCAUGAUCUCUUGCAAAUCUUUUGGUGCAAAAACUGUUAAAGAAUCCAAUAUGAAUGCAUAAGAUGGUGUAACCCUAGUUGGUGUGUAUUUGAUUUCUUCAAAUUGCAAAAAAUCAGUUUUCCGUCAUACAGUAUGUUUGAAAUCAUUAAGGUGCUUGAUUAUUUGAAUAUCCAUUUUCCUUAUCUUAUUUUUAUUAUCCAUUUCAUUGCUUCUUGUAUUUGGUCCAUUCAUUUAUUUUUGAAAUUUGGAUGCCUUAAAAUGGUCACUAGUAGAAGGAUGUCACAUGGUAUCAUUUUAGUGUUCUUACUUUUAAAUUUGUUUUGAAUAGGGUAGUACUUAAGUAUCAGCUUUCUAAUGUGUUGAUUUACUUUUCCCUUUGCAUUUCGGAUAUGUUUUGAUUUCUUUUCUUUUUUCUUUUCCAUGUGAAUCCGCUUUGGAGUCCAAAUGAGCUCCCUCCUUUUUGCAUUUCAUGACGGGCCAAUAAGGCCCAUCUUUUGAGUCGAGUUCCGCAAUUACUGCAAGACCGAUUGACUUUUGGAUAAAGAAGUUGAUAUUGAUGGAAGAGGAAAAUAGGUUGAUACCCAUUGAUGAAAAUUUGUCAAACUUGUAUUGUUUGUUUUAUUAUUUUGUUCUGCUUCUUUAUCUAUUUAUUCAUUCAUUUAGGCCUCGAAGCUAAAGUUGUAAUUUUAAUACAGAUGAAGCAGAUUUUGAGCCAAAUGGUCCAAGAAGAUGGUUCAAGAUAGGUUAUGGGCUAAAAGCUCAAUAUUUAGAUUAGGACAAGUGACAACAGGCCAAAAACCCAAAUGUAUAGUUUAGGACAGGUGCAAGCGGGUUUGGGACUAAAAGCCUAAUCUCAUUUUUUACCUUUUUCUUUUCUAUGGUUAUUUGCUAUUUGUGCCUUCGAAUUUAGUUAAAUUCCCUACUAAGUCGUCAAAUUGAUUUUACACAAGUUUUGUCCUAAAUCACUUUCUUUCAAAAAUCAAUCUUUUUAAAGUUAGUCAAAGAUAUUUUCAAACAGUCCGGAUAACCGCAAGUUAGAGGACAUUUUAGGUGUCUUAAACCUUCUCAAAACGUUAAUAGGAAUCGCUUACUCAGAAUCUUCAAAUUUAAAUGAUUUUUCUGUUUUGGAUCGUUUAAAGUAUUUCAUAAAGAUUUCUUAAUUCCUUUUCAAAAUUAAGUAGCGACUCUGAAAGGCAAAUUUUCGCAAAACAGUACCUAACUUAGUAAAUUUCAACUCACUGAGUCAUCACUCAAGUCAUCAAACUAAACCACAUUCAAAACAAAAAAAAUUACCUUAAAAGUACCUACACUUUAUCAAUUUCAAGUGAGUAAGUCAC
rnacentral:lncRNA from 1 species